rnacentral:lncRNA from 1 species
UGGAUACCCUCUGGCUACCCCAGAUGAAAGGACACUGAUCUGAUGUUGGGUAGCAAUAUGCCUUCAGCAAAACUGCUGCUUUCUGCACCUCCAGCCCAAACAGUUUCAACUCUGCUCAACACCCCAAACUUGCCUAUUCAACUUUCUCACUUGCGCUUGCCACAAUCAACGUUUCAUCUUUACUUGCCACUUAGAUCUGACUUUGCAUCUCAUUGCUUGUCACCUUGAAGCCAUUUCUCCCAAAUAUGUCAAUUUUUCUCAUCACUCAGAUACUACCGUUGCUCCCUCUUAGCGCUCAUCACCUGCCUGUCCCCUCAAAGCUGCCACUUUAUAUUAUUUUUUGAAGGAUGACUCAUGGCGCAUAGGAUAUCAGCAGGGACUUGCACAGGAGUAUAGUUAUAAUAGUCUGGUUUUUUUUUUUUUUUUCGUGUCAUAUCCUGUUGUUUUUUGUUUUGUUUUGUUUUUUACCUCAUUAGUACUACUGUUGCUAAGAUCAGGUUCACCCCUCCCUAGGUCCUUCUGACGCGAUCCCAUUAUCCAUUCAGUAUGACAUCAAAAGCUGACACAUAAUUGCCAUUAACAUAAUCUGUUUAGUUAGUUCUUCUUGGUUCAAUAGGGAUCCAGAAGACAGGGAAAGAAGCCAGAAGUCUGCUGGGGUUGUCCUUCUCUGCUCUCAUCAUCAGGAACCUUUUGCUCUGAGAAGCCAAAAGAAGUCACAAGUGAAGAGGACAGCCAGAAAGAAAAUAUCAGAUUUGGAAAGAAUAAAGAGUCGGCCUAUGACCUGGUACUGUGACCCAGAGACAACUUUGUGGGGUAGGGGUAUUGCUAGAGAGGAUUUGGGGAGAAAACGAUCACAAUCACAGUUACUGUGCCAUUUUUCUGUAAAUAAAAGGGAUUCCAUUAAAGAGGUAUUUGUCUCCAUCAGCUAUUUUUUUGUGACUGAAAAAAUACAGAAGACCACACUGUUUUAGCUAUCUGCUUGGGUCAGAAAGGGUAACAGGAAAUAUACUAGUGUUGCAUCAUUCCUAUGCUAAAAAUCUUUGACCAUAAAAUGUGGAUGAGAAAAGAAACCAGAAACUAAUUAAAAGAAAAGACCUAGAAAACUAGAAACUCCAUGUUUACUUUCCAGCAAUUAUACCCCCAAAUACUUUUUUUCACAGGCUUUCAUUUGCCUCUUUUUUAGAAAUCGCUGAUCCGACCCAUCACCCAAUUAUUUUCAGACUAAAAGACUUCUCAGUAAAUCUUUUCUGAGCUGUUCCUGUCACAGUUGCAGUUUUUUAGCAAUCUGGUCCUUUUAUUUUCAUUUCGUACUUGUGUGCUUCCUGUUGAAGAUAAAAUCUAGGGGGAUGAUUUAGAAUGCAUAUUGUGGUCAAUCAAAUGUAACUUUGCUGACUUCAGUGACUUAAGCGUUGACUUUCCUAACCUGUGCAAGGUCCUGAGUUGGAGAGGUCUUUUUGGGAUGCUAUUAUCUUUCAUGGACUUUGAAAUGGUUCACUAAAACCUAUGGGCUUAUGCUGGGUUAACCUUGGUUAAGGGCCAAACUUCCCCUCAGCCAUUUUUUCACCCACCCAUCCUGAAAAGGACAGGGGAGAAAACAGGAUGAAAAAACUCAUGGGUCAAGAUAAAGACAGGAAGAUCGCUUAACAAUUACCAUCAAGGGCAAAACAGAUUGGAUUUGGGGUACAGUAAUUUAUAUAUAAUUGUCAGUUAAGAUAGGUUUGGAUAGUGAGAAACAAGAACAAUUUAAACACAUCCCCU